rnacentral:tRNA from 1 species
AGAAACUUAGGUUAGUCUAAACCAGGGGCCUUCAAAGCCCCAAACAGGAAUCACCACCUCCUAGCUUCUG